CCAAGUGGGAUUAGCUAGUUGGUGAGGUAAUGGCUCACCAAGGCGACGAUCCCUAGCUGGUUUGAGAGGAUGAUCAGCCACACUGGGACUGAGACACGGCCCAGACUCCUACGGGAGGCAGCAGUGGGGAAUAUUGCACAAUGGGCGCAAGCCUGAUGCAGCCAUGCCGCGUGUGUGAAGAAGGCCUUCGGGUUGUAAAGCACUUUCAGUCAGGAGGAAAGGUUAACGGUUAAUACCCGUUAGCUGUGACGUUACUGACAGAAGAAGCACCGGCUAACUCCGUGCCAGCAGCCGCGGUAAUACGGAGGGUGCGAGCGUUAAUCGGAAUUACUGGGCGUAAAGCGUACGCAGGCGGUUUGUUAAGCGAGAUGUGAAAGCCCCGGGCUCAACCUGGGAACUGCAUUUCGAACUGGCAAACUAGAGUGUGAUAGAGGGUGGUAGAAUUUCAGGUGUAGCGGUGAAAUGCGUAGAGAUCUGAAGGAAUACCGAUGGCGAAGGCAGCCACCUGGGUCAACACUGACGCUCAUGUACGAAAGCGUGGGGAGCAAACGGGAUUAGAUACCCCGGUAGUCCACGCCGUAAACGAUGUCUACUAGAAGCUCGGAGCCUCGGUUCUGUUUUUCAAAGCUAACGCAUUAAGUAGACCGCCUG
rnacentral:rRNA from 1 species